rnacentral:rRNA from 1 species
AUGAACGCUGGCGGCGUGCCUAAUCCAUGCACGUAGAACGCUGAAGGAGGAGCUUGCUCUUCUGGAUGAGUUGCGAACGGGUGAGUAACGCGUAGGUAACCUGCCUGGUAGCGGGGGAUAACUAUUGGAAACGAUAGCUAAUACCGCAUGACAACAGUUAUUGCAUGAUAACUGUUUAAAAGGGGCAACUGCUCCACUACCAGAUGGACCUGCGUUGUAUUAGCUAGUUGGUGAGGUAACGGCUCACCAAGGCGACGAUACAUAGCCGACCUGAGAGGGUGAUCGGCCACACUGGGACUGAGACACGGCCCAGACUCCUACGGGAGGCAGCAGUAGGGAAUCUUCGGCAAUGGACGGAAGUCUGACCGAGCAACGCCGCGUGAGUGAAGAAGGUUUUCGGAUCGUAAAGCUCUGUUGUAAGAGAAGAACGAGUGUGAGAGUGGAAAGUUCACACUGUGACGGUAUCUUACCAGAAAGGGACGGCUAACUACGU